rnacentral:rRNA from 1 species
CACGGGGGGAGCAAGCGUUGUUCGGAAUCACUGGGGCGGUAAAGGGCGUGUAGGCGGUCAUGUAAAGUGGGACUGUGAAAGCCCCUCGGCUCACCCGAGGAUCUGCAUCUCAAACUGCAUGGCUUGAGUAUGGGAGAGGAUGAGGGAAUUCCUGGUGUAGCGGUAGAAAUGCGUAGAUAUCAGGAGGAACACCGGUGGCGAAGGCGCUCAUCUGGCCCAAUACUGACGCUGAGGCGCGAAAGCUAGGGGAGCAAACGGG